UGAGUAGGACAGACAAUCGCAGCUGCUAUUGCCGAAAGGACGCAGGUGAGGAAAGUCCGGGCUUCACAGGGCAGGAUGCCGGAUAACGUCCGGUGGAGGUGACUCUAAGGAUAGUGCAACAGAAAUAUACCGCCAGCACUCAGUUGAGUGAUUGAAUGCUGUAUGUAUGCUGUAUUCAAUCUGGUAAGGGUGGAAAGGCAGUGUAAGAGACUACCGCCCAUAUGGUAACAUAUGGGGCACAUGUAAACCCCAUCCGAAGCAAGACCGAACAGAAAGCAUAUGGCUGCCCGUCAGCUUUCGGGUAGGUCGCUUGACUUUACCGGCAACGGUAAAGCUAGAUAGAUGAUUGUCAAACACAUAACCCGGCUUAUAGUUUUGCUCAACAU
rnacentral:RNase_P_RNA from 1 species